UACGUAGGCAGCGAGCGUUGUUCGGAGUUACUGGGCGUAAAGGGUGUGUAGGCGGUCGUUUAAGUUUGGUGUGAAAUCUCCCGGCUCAACUGGGAGGGUGCGCCGAAUACUGAAUGACUAGAGUGUGGGAGAGGUGAGUGGAAUUCCUGGUGUAGCGGUGAAAUGCGUAGAUAUCAGGAGGAACACCGGUGGUGUAGACGGCUCACUGGACCAUAACUGACGCUGAGACACGAAAGCGCGGGUAGCAAACAGG
rnacentral:rRNA from 1 species